CUAAACUUUCGUCUUCUUUCCAUUCAAAACUUACCAAAGCAUUCUUAACCUUUGGUCGACAUGGCUCCUUCAGCCUGCCUAGUUCCCAAGUGCCCAAGUUUCCUCCUUAGCUCCUCCCUCGCCAUCCCUCACCACGAUCUGUCCACCAGCUCCAUCCCCUGCUCACGAUUGGCCACCCCAGCACCUGCCUGCUCAUGCUCUCCCGGAUCGAAUCCACCUGAAAUGGCUCAGGAAUCUGCUCAGGAAUGCACCCAUAAGUGUUGGAGAAGUUCCCGCAACAAGCCAUUGCUCAAAAAAGAAUUGCAAAGGCAAGAAAGACCAACUCACACGCACCCGACCACUUGGCCCUGUGCAGGAUUGCGACUGGUAUCACGAAG
rnacentral:lncRNA from 1 species